rnacentral:rRNA from 1 species
UGAAAGCGGGGGACCGUAAGGCCUCGCGCUAUUGGGGCGGCCGAUGUCUGAUUAGCUAGUUGGCGGGGUAAAAGCCCACCAAGGCGACGAUCAGUAGCUGGUCUGAGAGGACGAUCAGCCACACUGGGACUGAGACACGGCCCAGACUCCUACGGGAGGCAGCAGUGGGGAAUUUUGGACAAUGGGGGCAACCCUGAUCCAGCAAUGCCGCGUGUGCGAAGAAGGCCUUCGGGUUGUAAAGCACUUUUGUCAGGGAAGAAAUCUUUCGGGCUAAUACCCCUGGAAGGAUGACGGUACCUGAAGAAUAAGCACCGGCUAACUACGUGCCAGCAGCCGCGGUAAUACGUAGGGUGCAAGCGUUAAUCGGAAUUACUGGGCGUAAAGCGUGCGCAGGCGGUUUGCUAAGACAGUUGUGAAAUCCCCGGGCUUAACCUGGGAACUGCAAUUGUGACUGGCAGGCUAGAGUACGGCAGAGGGGGGUGGAAUUCCUGGUGUAGCAGUGAAAUGCGUAGAG